AUUGAACGCUGGCGGCAUGCCUUACACAUGCAAGUCGAACGGUAACGCGGGGCAACCUGGCGACGAGUGGCGAACGGGUGAGUAAUAUAUCGGAACGUGCCCAACAGUGGGGGAUAGCCCGGCGAAAGCCGGAUUAAUACCGCAUACGACCUGAGGGUGAAAGCGGGGGAUCGCAAGACCUCGCGCUGAUGGAGCGGCCGAUAUCAGAUUAGGUAGUUGGUGGGGUAAAGGCCUACCAAGCCUACGAUCUGUAGCUGGUCUGAGAGGACGACCAGCCACACUGGGACUGAGACACGGCCCAGACUCCUACGGGAGGCAGCAGUGGGGAGUUUUGGACAAUGGGCGCAAGCCUGAUCCAGCCAUGCCGCGUGCGGGAAGAAGGCCUUCGGGUUGUAAACCGCUUUUGUCAGGGAAGAAAUCCCUUGAGCUAAUACCUUGAGGGGAUGACGGUACCUGAAGAAUAAGCACCGGCUAACUACGUGCCAGCAGCCGCGGUAAGAC
rnacentral:rRNA from 1 species